rnacentral:rRNA from 1 species
AGGACGAACGCUGGCGGCGUGCUUCAUACAUGCAAGUCGAACGAGAAUCUCUAGCUUGCUAGAGAGGAAAGUGGCGGACGGGUGAGUAAAAUGUAGAGAAUCUGCCCUAGAGCGGGGGACAACAGAGGGAAACUUCUGCUAAUACCCCAUAUGAGCGUAGUUGAGAUGCUAUUCUUGAAAACUCCGGUGCUCUGGGAUGAGUCUGCAUCUGAUUAGCUAGUAGGCGGUGUAAUGGACCACCUAGGCGACGAUCAGUAGCUGGUUUGAGAGGAUGAUCAGCCACAAUGGGACUGAGACGCGGCCCAUACUCCUACGGGAGGCAGCAGUAGGGAAUUUUGCGCAAUGGGGGAAACCCUGAACCGCAGCAACGCCGCGUGAAUGAAGAAGCCCUUCGGGGUGUAAAGUUCUGUCAGUGGGGACGAAACUUGACGGUACCCACAGAGGAAGCAUCGGCUAACUCCGUGCCAGCAGCGGC